UAAGUUCAUAUGUUAAAUAAAUAAUUCUAAAAAUAUUUCUAUUUUAUUAAGAAUGAUUACGAGGUGUUUAGAUUAACAGUUCAUGCUUUAUGUAAGUUUUUGUUAGGAAAUGUUGUCGGUAAAUUCUACUUCCGGUUCCGGCCGUGCACUUCCGGUCUGGCAGCGGACUAACGGUUUUACGUUUUUUAUUGCCGUUAAACAAGAGAACAUACCUGAAGCAAUCUGAUCGGAUGCUUACCACACUGAAUUAUCAGGCAGGAACGCCGUAAGUUGCAAUUAUUUGACAGCUUAUACUGAUGACUUUGAAUAUUACUGCUUAUUUUGCCGAAAUGUUAAUUUAGUGAGUUGAUGUACUUUAUUUGUGUAAUCUUGUUGAGUCCAAGGUUAUUUUCUGUCAUUUCAGUUUUCACCACACAUGUUAUGAAGACAAUUAAACAAGCUGCAACUAAUCUCCAGGGUCUUCAUUUCACGGUUUAACUCGGUGUCACCAACAUCCUUGUUGAAAACACUAGAGUGAAAAGGCGCCAACUGACGAUUCAUCACGGUCAAAAUGGCAUCCACCAGCAAGUCGGCACGCAGCCUUAGGACCAGUCGCUCAUCUGGAUCAGCGGUAAGUGCCGCCCAUGCUCGAGCUAAAGCGGAGGCUGCUAAGGUCAGAGCAUCCUAUGCAACUAAGGAAGCACAAUUGAAAGUUGAGAAAGCGCAAAGCGAACUGGAAAAGGCUAAAAUAGAGGCAAAGUUAGAAGUGUUAACAUUACAAAAAGAAGCCGAUGCUGCGGUAGCUGAAGCACAAGUACUAGAGGAAGCUGAGGCAAUGCAAGAGGAGUCUGAGAGCAAAAAAUCUUCAUCAGAAGAAGCUAAAUUAGAACAUACAAGUGAAUACGUACAGUCUCAGAUGGACCUCGUUCAAUCUCCACAUCCUCAAGAAUUACUAAACACCCCUCGUCUACAAGUUAGCUCACCUAACACAUUUGUAACGUGGCAUCCACCCGACGAUAGCAAUUUAGAGCCACAGCCCAUCAUCUGUGAACGAAAGCUUACUAAAGACAAUGUUGCUGCCCUAAAUAUGCCCAAUCAACCCAGAGAUGAAACCAAAUUUAAGUUGGAGAAACCAAACACCUCUCUCAACCCGAUCUGCUCACCAUUCACGCCUCGCCCUAACAUCCCAUCCAGCAUCUCACAUCCAGUUGAGCCAUUUGCCCAAUACAUGGCACGACGAGAUCUAAUCACUUCAGGCCUUUACCAGUUCGACGACAAACCAGAGAAUUAUAGAGCAUGGUACUCUUCAUUCACCAGUGCAACAGGUGAGGUCCAACUAAGUCCCAUUCAAGAGCUAGAUCUCAUGACAAAGUGGUUAGGAAAAGAGUCAAGCGAUCAGGUGAAACGCAUACGCUCAGUACACGUCAACAACCCCACAUUGGCGCUUUACAAGGCAUGGGAGAGACUAAACGAAUGUUAUGCAGCACCCGAAAUAAUCGAAAAGUCACUCUUCCAACGACUGGACAGUUUUCCAAGAAUAACUGUAAAAGAUAACAUCAAGCUGCGUGAAUUAGGGGACCUGCUACAAGAGAUUCAAAGCGCCAAGGAAGACGGAUAUCUCCCUGGCCUACAAUAUCUGGACACUUCUCGUGCAAUUGGCCCAAUCAUAGAAAAACUCCCGUAUGGACUUCAGGAGAGGUGGAUGUCACAUGGCUCUCAAUACAAAGAGGAAAAUCAAGGCUGUUUCCCACCUUUUGAGUAUUUCUGCAAAUUCAUAUGCAAAGAGGCAAAGAAACGCAAUGAUCCGAGUUUCCACCAACAAAACAGCCCGAUACACUCAAAACCAGAAAAACCUUAUGCAAAGAACUUUGACUCUAGGAAACCGAUUACUGUACACAAAACCAAUAUCUUUCCGCCUAUCAAGGACUUUAACAGGAACUGCCCACUGCAUAAUAAGCCACAUCCACUCAAAAAAUGCAGAAAGUUUAGAAAUAAACCACUCGACGAAAGGAAGGCCUUCCUCAAAGAGAAAGGAAUAUGCUUCAGAUGCUGCUCUUCAGACAGUCAUCUUGCAAAGGGCUGUAAAUCUGCAGUAACUUGUUCUGAAUGUAAUAGCACGAGUCACGACACAGUCAUGCACCCAGGUCCUCCACCACAGAUCUACAAGGCUCCCUCACCAGCACUGGAGGAUGGCGGGGAGGAAGAAAGCGGUCCAGACGCAGUCAAUGUCACAACAACCUGCACGGAUGUGUGCAGUCCAGGUCAGUGGGGUCGUUCAUGUUCCAAGAUAUGUCUUGCAUGGGUGUACCCAAAGGGUUACAAAGACAGAGCUAUCAAAGCUUAUGUAAUAUUAGAUGAUCAGAGCAAUCGUUCCUUAGCCAGGCCUGAGUUCUUUGAACUUUUCAACAUUAAAAAUGAACCUCUCGCCUACAAUCUCAGAACAUGCUCUGGUGUGGUUGAAACCUGGGGUAAAAUAGCUGAAGGAUUUGAAAUUGAGUCACUAGAUAGAUCAGUGGUUAUUCCCCUACCCCCACUCAUUGAGUGUCAAGACAUUCCCAACAACAGGAGUGAAAUCCCAACCCCUAGUGCGGUGCUACACCAGCCACACCUCCAAUCCAUAGCAAAGUACAUCCCAGAACUAGAUCCUAAAGCUGAAAUACUCCUGUUACUAGGGCGAGAUGUUCUACGGGUGCACAAGGUCAGGCAGAGAGUGAAUGGCCCCCAUAAUGCGCCCUUCGCCCAGUGCUUAGACCUGGGGUGGGUUGUAGUUGGGGAGGUUUGUCUGGGUAAUGUUCAUAGGCCGACAGUCAGCACUCUCAAAACAGUUGUCCUGGAAAAUGGUCGCCCUACAGUUUUCAAACCAUGUGACAGCCUUCUGCGAUUCAAGGAAACGCCACACACAAUUAGGCCAAAUAAAGCACCCGAGCAAACUCUAGGACAAACGGUCUUUAACCAGACAGAAAAUGACAAUAAACCAGCUCCCUCAGUACAGGAUGCUCUCUUUAUCGAAAUGAUGGACAGUGCUAUGUUCAGAGAUGAGGACAACAGUUGGGUCGCCCCACUUCCGUUUAAAGAACCUCGCCAGCAACUGCCAAACAACAGAGAGCGGGCAAUCACGAGAUUCUUGUCCUUAAAACGCAACCUAAACAGGAAGCCCAAAAUGCAGGAGCAAUAUGUGGCUUUCAUGGGAGAGAUUUUCUCUAAUGGUCACGCUGAGGUGGCACCCCCACUAAAACAGGAAGAGGAGUGCUGGUACCUUCCAACCUUCGGAGUUUACCACCCAAGGAAACCCAAUCAGAUCAGGGUUGUUUUCGACUCCAGCGCCCAGUACUCUGGUGUCUCACUUAACAACGUCCUCCUUACUGGCCCUGAUCUAAAUAACACACUCCUUGGAGUUCUUCUCCGCUUCCGGACAGAAAGUGUUGCGAUCAUGGCAGAUAUAAAGCAAAUGUUUCACUGCUUCGUGGUACGUGAGGACCAUCGUAACUUCCUCCGUUUUCUCUGGCACAGGGACAAUGAUAUAAAUAAGGAAGUUAUCGACUAUCGCAUGAAAGUCCAUGUAUUUGGCAACUCACCGUCUCCUGCUGUUGCUGUUUACGGACUACGCAGGGCCAUCAGAGCAGGUGCAAAGGACUAUGGAGCAGAUACUGUCAAGUUUGUGGAGAGGCACUUUUACGUUGACGAUGGCUUGAUCUCCGUUCCCUCUCCCGCCGAGGCUAUAGACUUGCUUCAGAGAACACAAGCCUCACUCGCUGAAUCCAACCUGCGCCUGCAUAAGUUUGUUUCUAACUCGCAGGCAGUCAUGCAGGCCUUCUGCCCUGAAGAUUGUGCACCAGUCAUUAAAGACUUGGAUUUAAGUGGUGAAGAAACACAAUCCCAGCGAAGCCUUGGGCUCAUUUGGGAAAUAACAACAGACACAUUCACUUACUCAGUAGCCGACACAGACAAACCAUUUACUCGGCGUGGCAUACUGUCAGCCGUCAAUAGUGUCUUUGAUCCCCUGGGCCUAUUGGCACCUGUCACAAUCCAAGGAAGAGCUCUGCUCAGAGAGCUCAGUUCAGAAUGUUCAGAUUGGGACACACCCCUUCCUGAGGACAAGCAAAGCAAGUGGGAAAUGUGGAGAAAUUCCCUUCAGGACCUAAAAGAACUACACGUCCCUAGAACCUACACAUCUACCUCACUCAGUCAAGCAACGCACAAAGAACUGUGUUUAUUCUCAGACGCGUCAACUAUGGCCAUAGGAGCUGUAGCCUAUUUAAAGGCAGUCCAAAGAGAUGGCGAAGUUGAGGUCGGAUUCAUAAUGGGCAAGGCAAAGCUUGCUCCAUUGUCAAAACUGACUAUACCAAGACUUGAACUGUGUGCAGCUGUCUUGGCGGUAGAAAUGGCUGAUCUCAUUCAGGAUGAGUUGGACUUGCACUUUGACGCAGUACACUUUUAUACGGACAGUAAGGUUGUACUGGGCUACAUCUGUAAUGAGUCUAAGAGAUUCUACCAGUAUGUCCACAACAGGGCACAGCGCAUUCGCCAGUCUUCAAAGCCAGAACAAUGGCACUACGUGCGCACAGAGGAAAACCCAGCAGACCACGCAUCGAGGUCGUUGUCAGCAGCUCAGCUAAAAAAGUCCACCUGGUUUACCGGACCAUCCUUCAUCCACCAUUCUCCUGCAGAGAAAACUCAAAUAAGUGGAAUGUUUGAGUUAAUUGAACCUGAAAAGGACUCAGAAAUUAGGCCACAAAUCAGAACACAUGCCACUCACCUCCAAGUACCCAGCAGUAAGCGUUUUGAGCGCUUUUCCACGUUUAAGUCCUUAGUCAGAGCAAUAGCAAAUCUUAUCCACAUCGCAAAAUCUUUCAAUAGGACCAAUCCGAACAGUAAAUGCAAAGGCUGGCACAAAUGUCACCUGCCUCUUACUCCAGAGGAGCUAUCUCAAGCAAAAACCAUCAUCCUCAAAGAGGCACAAAAGGCCCACUUUGGAAAAGAACUUUCUGCCCUUAAUGCUUGCAAGCCGAUCUCAAAGCAGAGCCCUCUACAAAAGCUCAGCCCAAUCCUACAGGAUGGUCUCAUUUCUGUUGGAGGCCGACUUAAACACUCAGAGAUUGAGAACUUCGAAAAGAGCCCUGUAAUUCUCCCCAAAGACAGUCACAUUUCCCUUCUGCUCACUCGUCAUCACCACGAGCAAACAGAGCAUCAAGGCCGUCAUCUGACGGAAGGAGCAAUCAGGGCUGCUGGACUGUGGCUUUUAGGUGGCAAAAGACUGAUCAACUCAGUAAUCCACAAAUGUUUAACCUGCCGCAAACUGCGUGGAAAACAAGAACAGCAACUUAUGGCGGCCCUGCCACCUGAACGCCUAAAAACCUGUCCUCCUUUCACCUAUGUUGGCCUUGACGUCUUCGGGCCCUGGAAUAUAACAACCAGGCGUACCAGAGGUGGAGUAGCUGAAAGUAAGCGGUGGGCCAUUUUGUUUACUUGCAUGAGUUCAAGAGCCGUCCAUAUUGAGGUAAUCGAAUCUCUAGAUACGUCCAGCUGCAUAAACGCCCUCCGCCGCUUCUUUGCUCUAAGAGGACCCGCCAAACAGUUGUUAUCUGAUCGUGGCACCAAUUUUGUUGGAGCUUCAAAGGAACUAGGAAUGGACAAAUCAAUGCAGAAGUACCUAACAGAGCAAGGUUGCAGCUGGGAAUUCAAUCCGCCACAUGCUUCCCACAUGGGAGGCUCUUGGGAGCGCAUGAUCGGAGUCGCCCGCAGAAUCCUGGAUUCCAUGCUAUUGCAAAACAAGGUUCAACUGACUCACGAAGUGCUUUGCACUCUCAUGGCCGAAAUUACAGCCAUCAUAAAUGCAAGGCCGCUUGUUCCUGUGUCCUCCGAUCCAGAGAACCCCUUUAUUCUAUCCCCCUCAAUGCUCCUUACACAAAGGUCUUGCCUUCUCCCCCCAUCUGGAGAGUUCUUCAAUAAAGACCUUUACACCAAACAAUGGAGACAAGUCCAAGCUCUCUCCAACCAGUUCUGGAUGCGCUGGAGGCGAGAGUAUUUGCCCACAUUACAACAAAGGCAGAAAUGGACUGUAUCACGCAGAAAUCUCCAAGUUGGUGACCUAGUUCUGCUCAAGGACAAGCAGGUCAGACGUAACAGCUGGCCCAUGGCAAGGAUCACUGCCACAUUCCCAAGCAAGGACAAUCGAGUCAGAAAGAUUGAGGUAAAGGCAUGUGAUCAAGGCUCUGUAAAGACAUUUAUGCGACCAGUUACUGAAGUUAUUCUGCUUAUGCCAAAGGACUGAAUGUUUAUUGUAUUGUUUAGUAUAGUGGCCUCACGAGGCCAGGCGGGGAGUGUGUUGCCCUUAAGGCAUUUCUUUGAAUAAAUAAGUUCAUAUGUUAAAUAAAUAAUUCUAAAAAUAUUUCUAUUUUAUUAAGAAUGAUUACGAGGUGUUUAGAUUAACAGUUCAUGCUUUAUGUAAGUUUUUGUUAGGAAAUGUUGUCGGUAAAUUCUACUUCCGGUUCCGGCCGUGCACUUCCGGUCUGGCAGCGGACUAACGGUUUUACGUUUUUUAUUGCCGUUAAACAAGAGAACAUACCUGAAGCAAUCUGAUCGGAUGCUUACCACACUGAAUUAUCAGGCAGGAACGCCUUUUCACCACACAUGUUAUGAAGACAAUUAAACAAGCUGCAACUAAUCUCCAGGGUCUUCAUUUCACGGUUUAACUCGGUGUCACCAACAUCCUUGU